GACGAACGCUGGCGGCGUGCUUAACACAUGCAAGUCGAGCGGUAAGGCCCUUUCGGGGGUACACGAGCGGCGAACGGGUGAGUAACACGUGGGUGACCUGCCCUCAGCUCUGGGAUAAGCCUGGGAAACCGGGUCUAAUACUGGAUAUGACUCCAUGACGCAUGUUGUGGGGUGGAAAGCCUUGUGCGGCUGAGGAUGGGCCCGCGGCCUAUCAGCUUGUUGGUGGGGNGAUGGCCUACCAAGGCGACGACGGGUAGCCGGCCUGAGAGGGCGACCGGCCACACUGGGACUGAGACACGGCCCAGACUCCUACGGGAGGCAGCAGUGGGAAUCUUGCGCAAUGGGCGAAAGCCUGACGCAGCGACGCCGCGUGAGGGAUGACGGCCUGGUUGU
rnacentral:rRNA from 1 species